rnacentral:rRNA from 1 species
UUAAAUUGAAGAGUUUGAUCAUGGCUCAGAUUGAACGCUGGCGGCAGGCCUAACACAUGCAAGUCGAACGGUAACAGAAAGCAGCUUGCUGCUUUGCUGACGAGUGGCGGACGGGUGAGUAAUGUCUGGGAAACUGCCUGAUGGAGGGGGAUAACUACUGGAAACGGUAGCUAAUACCGCAUAACGUCGCAAGACCAAAGAGGGGGACCUUCGGGCCUCUUGCCAUCGGAUGUGCCCAGAUGGGAUUAGCUUGUUGGUGGGGUAACGGCUCACCAAGGCGACGAUCCCUAGCUGGUCUGAGAGGGUGACCAGCCACACUGGAACU